rnacentral:rRNA from 1 species
CGCCUGGGGAGUGCGGCCGCAAGGUUAAAACUCAAAUGAAUUGACGGGGGCCCGCACAAGCGGUGGAGCAUGUGGUUUAAUUCGACGCAAUGCGAAGAACCUUGCCUGGCCUUGACAUGCAGAGAACUUUCCAGAGAUGGAUUGGUGCCUUCGGGAACUCUGACACAGGUGCUGCAUGGCCGUCGUCAGCUCGUGUCGUGAGAUGUUGGGUUAAGUCCCGUAACGAGCGCAACCCCUAUCCCUAGUUGCUAGCAGUUCGGCUGAGAACUCCAGGGAGACUGCCGGUGACAAACCGGAGGAAGGUGGGGAUGACGUCAGGUCAUCAUGGCCCUUACGGCCAGGGCUACACACGUGCUACAACGGUGCGCACAGAGGGCUGCAAACCCGCGAGGGGGAGCCAAUCUCACAAAACGCAUCGUAGUCCGGAUCGCAGUCUGCAACUCGACUGCGUGAAGUCGGAAUCGCUAGUAAUCGUGAAUCAGAAUGUCACGGUGAAUACGUUCCCGGGCCUUGUACACACCGCCCGUCACACCAUGGGAGUGGAUUGCACCAGAAGUAGUUAGUCUAACCUUCGGGAGGACGAUUACCACGGUGUGGUUCAUGACUGGGGUGAAGUCGUAACAAGGUAACCGUA